UGGGUUGUGUCUCAGUGGUAGAGUGCUUACUUAGCACAUGAGAGGCCCUGGGUUCGAUCCUCAGCACCACAU
rnacentral:tRNA from 1 species